UACGUAGGGGGCAAGCGUUGUUCGGAAUCACUGGGCGUAAAGGGAGUGUAGGCGGAGAAGCAAGUUAGAAGUUUAAAGUAUGGGCUUAACCCAUAACCUGCUUUUAAUACUGCUUUUCUUGAGUGUGGCAGAGGAUGAUGGAAUUCCAGGUGUAGCGGUGGAAUGCGUAGAUAUCUGGAAGAACACCAGUUGCGAAGGCGGUCAUCUGGGCCACUACUGACGCUGAGGCUCGAAAGCCGGGGGAG
rnacentral:rRNA from 1 species